AAGUCGUAACAAGGUUUCCGUAGGUGAACCUGCGGAAGGAUCAUUAUCACGUUAUCCACGUAUCAACCAUUGUGAACUAGUUUAUUGACCUUUGGAUUAGGAAGGUAGUGUUAUAUUAAACCGUUAUCAAACAAUUAAAUGAUUGGAAAUUGUUGAGGUUUAAUACGACCAAACAAAUUCGUUUGUUUACUUUCUAAUUCAGAGUGUAUUUAUUUUCCAAUCAAUUCUCUAUUUAUUAACCAUUAAAACCCAAAAUUUUUCUAAAUUUUGAACUGAUUUAAUUUCUUACUUUCAAAUUCAUUUUUGAGAGAAGAAAUAAAUGAUUACGAAACAUAAGAACAACUCUUAGCAACGGAUAUCUUGGUUCUC
rnacentral:misc_RNA from 1 species